UGGUAUUUGAGUGAUCGGAAAUAUAAUGAAAACUUGUGUGCGUUGCUUUUAUUGGUAGAGACUGGUUUUGUAGAUGCAUCUUACUGUUGAAGAACAGUCAUCCGAGCUAAUCUUUAUUAUACUUGUUUUAAUUAAAGUAAUUAUUGUAGAUGAUUUGAUAAGCAAUGGAAAUCAUAUGCUAAUGUUAAAACAAGGUAGUAAUUUGGAGACAAGCUGAAAAGAGUGAACCUAGCAAACUAAUCGUUUGAGUGGUGACGUGUGCAUGUCAACAAAAAGCUGGGAUUCAACGAAUUAACUUUCGUUGUGAUGAGGAAAGUUCACUUCUGGCUGUUAACCUAUCAAAACUUUCAUCUGGCUGCAACACCCAGUCAGUUUUCUAAGGCUUUUGUCAUAGAGCAAAAGAGCCAGGCUGCUCCACAAGGGAGGACGAGCGAGAAGCUGAGGUUGACCACAGCACAGGCAGGGGCGUUAUCCUGCGCCCACAGGGUGCAGUCCUGCAGCACCUCACCUGGAUGAACCAUGGUGAUAGGAACAUGUUCUUCAACAGUCCAUCAGUCACAGAUAAAGGCAAGGAGCAGCCAAAAUCAGCCUAGAAAUCCAAAUGAAACUGCAAGGACAGCAGGAAAAAGGCAUGCCUAUGGCAAAGCUCAAGCAAGGAGUGGGUACGCAUACCUGAGCUUAAAUGGAGCUUCUGGAUCAAUGCACAGAGCAUCAGAAAAGAACUUAAGAGAGCUGUCCAAAUAAUGCAUCAGGUCUGUGUAGAUGAAAUCUCAAGAAGAAUAGAGCUCUGCAUGAUUAUGAAUGAAGGUAGACCUAAAAUUACCACUGUCUGUAAGGUGGUACUGCUGUCUUACAAGAGAAAUGCAUGCUUAGAAGAAUGAGAUAAUUUGGGGAAUGCAGUCAGCUGACAGACAAGUUCGCUACUAUAAAAAACAGCAGAAUUUCACUUCAGGAAAAUGACCAUAGAACUUUCCAGUGUUUUGCUGAAAUACAUUGGCUUACAAAAGGAAUUGCCACGCUGAAGCUGGCAAAGGCAAAAAAGGAAGAUGUACAAGUGAGCAGGGAAAGAAAGAGAAGGCAGAAGAAUGAGAAGUAUGAGAAGUAGGUUCAUGAAAUUAACCUAUCCAGGACACCCUUUUUAGUCCUAUUUUCAGUUCCUGUUUUAGGGGGCUUAGAACUGAAAGAGAGAAGUGUGGUAAAGGUAGUGUUUGGAGAAGUAGGCAGAGCCAAAGAAGUGUACCUCGUGAGGAGAGAAAAGCUUUGCCCGUGCGUACUGCUUUUCCAUCAUCAGCAUGUGACAGAUUCUUGUGUAGAUGAUCUUCAGUUGUAAUUCUUGAUGACUUUUUCUACUUUUUAGGUUUGAGUUGAAACUAUUUCUCGCUGACUGAAGUAGGAUUAAUAAAGAGAAUUAAAAGGGAAAAUUAU